GUUCCUUCAUGUGUACUGAAUGAGAAUGAGUUGAGACUAUUGGCCAUAAUAGGCACAAUAGGUGUUAUAGGUGUAACAGAGGUUGAAAGAGGAAUUGUCCAAGAAGAAAUACCGACAACUUCUUCAAAUGAAGAGAAGGAAAAUAUUUCAUUAUCGCCACCGCCACUUAUGCCUCUAUUGAUGAGUGGUUGUGGCGAGAAGAGAGAAUUAUUGGAGGAUGGGCCAAAAAAAACC